UGAGAUUUAAGAGCCGCAGUAUCCUGACUGUGCUAAGGUAGCAUAAUCAUUAGUCUUUUAAUUGGAGACUGGUAUGAAUGGUUAAACGAGAAAUCAACUUUUUUUGUUGUAAAGCUUGAAUUUAACUUUUUAGUGAAAAGGCUAAAAUUUUUCAAAAAGACGAGAAGACCCUAUAGAGUUUUAUAAUCAAGGGAAUAUUUCUUUCUUAGAUUUUUAUGAGAGGUAUUUACUGUAGUUAUUUUGUUGGGGCGACAUUUAGAUAUAAAAAACUCUUUAUUUUUAAAACUUUUAUGAAAGGUAAAUUGAUCCUUUAAAAAAGAUCAUAAGAAAAAAUUACCUUAGGGAUAACAGCGUAAUCUUUUUUGAGAGUUCUAAUCGACAAAAAGGUUUGCGACCUCGAUGUUGGACUAAAAUUAAGGCAGGGUGCAGCAGUUCUGCUAUAAGGUCUGUUCGACCUAUAAUUUUUUACACGAUCUGAGUUCAGACCGGCGUAAGCCAGGUUG
rnacentral:rRNA from 1 species